AUGUAGGGCAAUCUAUCUUUAGGUAGGGACAAAUUACUCUAAAAGAAAAAAAUACUCAAAAGAAAAGAAUCUAGAUAGCUUUCCCUUCAAGUGUCUUGU
rnacentral:pre_miRNA from 1 species